rnacentral:rRNA from 2 species
GAGUUUGAUCAUGGCUCAGAAUGAACGCUGGCGGCAGGCCUAACACAUGCAAGUCGAACGGAGUUAUAUUGUAGCUUGCUAUGGUAUAACUUAGUGGCAGACGGGUGAGUAAUGUAUAGGAAUCUACCUAGUAGUACGGAAUAAUUGUUGGAAACGGCAACUAAUACCGUAUACGCCCUACGGGGGAAAAAUUUAUUGCUAUUAGAUGAGCCUAUAUUAGAUUAGUUAGUUGGUGAGGUAAAGGCUUACCAAGACAAUGAUCUAUAGCUGAUCUGAGAGGAUGAUCAGCCACACUGGAACUGAGAUACGGUCCAGACUCCUACGGGAGGCAGCAGUGGGGAAUAUUGGACAAUGGGCGAAAGCCUGAUCCAGCCAUGCCGCAUGAGUGAAGAAGGCCUUCGGGUUGUAAAGCUCUUUUAGUGAGGAAGAUAAUGACGGUACUCACAGAAGAAGUCCUGGCUAACUCCGUGCCAGCAGCCGCGGUAAUACGGAGAGGGCUAGCGUUAUUCGGAAUCAUUGGGCGUAAAGGGCGCGUAGGCGGGUUAGUAAGUUAAAAGUGAAAUCCCAAGGCUCAACCUUGGAACUGCUUUUAAAACUGCUAGUCUAGAGAUUGAAAGAGGAUAGAGGAAUUCCUAGUGUAGAGAUGAAAUUCGUAAAUAUUANGAGGAACACCAGUGGCGAANGGNGUCUAUCUGGUUCAAAUCUGACGCUGANGCGCGAAGGCGUGGGGAGCAAACAGGAUUAGAUACCC